UUUNCGUUAGGUGGAANNUUNCUUUANGGNNAUNCCUCGAUUCCUGCCUAGCAGUACAGACCCGCGAAACUGUUUAUACAAAACCCGCUCGCGUGGGCGCGGCCGCCUCGCRGGUCCUCUUGGGGACCUCCCUGGCGAACCCGCGCCUUCCGCGGCACACAAACGAACCCCGGCGUGGACAACGCCAAGGAAAACAAAAUGGAGGCCGCGUCCCCGUGCUCUGCGGGGCUCGCGACUCCUGUCGUAUAUACAAUAACGACUCUCGGCAACGGAUAUCUCGGCUCUCGCAUCGAUGAAGAACGUAGCGAAAUGCGAUACUUGGUGUGAAUUGCASAAUCCCGUGAACCAUCGAGUCUUUGAACGCAAGUUGCGCCCCAAGCCGUCAGGCCGAGGGCACGCCUGCCUGGGCGUCACGCAACGUCGCUCCCUCCCAGUCCGGAGAGGGCGGAUACUGGCCUCCCGUGCGUGCAUUGCUCGCGGCUGGCCUAAAAACGAGUCCUUGGCGUCGAACGCUCGAGCGAGCGGUGGUAUUUACUUAUCAAAGUUACGUGCCCGUGCGCUCUCGGGGCGGAARGGGAUCUCUCGAACCCGAACGCGUAGAAACGACUGCUUCCGACCCAGGUAGGCGGACUNCCGNUANUUAACANUAAUAGGGGAGGAA
rnacentral:misc_RNA from 1 species